CAACUUCUCCCUCUGUCCCAAAUUUCUUGUCUUAGAUUUGUCUAGAUACGGAUGUAUCUAAUACUAAAAUGUGACUUGAUACAUCCGUAUCUAGACAAAUCUAAGACAAGAAUUUUGGGACGGAGGGAGUACUUU
rfam:Triticum aestivum genome assembly, contig: Triticum_aestivum_CS42_TGACv1_scaffold_570468_7AS